CGGAGAGUUUGAUCCUGGCUCAGAUUGAACGCUGGCGGCAUGCUUUACACAUGCAAGUCGAACGGUAACAGGGAGCUUGCUCCGCUGACGAGUGGCGAACGGGUGAGUAAUAUAUCGGAACGUACCCAAGAGUGGGGGAUAACGUAGCGAAAGUUACGCUAAUACCGCAUACGAUCCAAGGAUGAAAGCAGGGGAUCUUCGGACCUUGUGCUCCUGGAGCGGCCGAUAUCUGAUUAGCUAGUUGGUGAGGUAAUGGCUCACCAAGGCGACGAUCAGUAGCUGGUCUGAGAGGACGACCAGCCACACUGGAACUGAGACACGGUCCAGACUCCUACGGGAGGCAGCAGUGGGGAAUUUUGGACAAUGGGCGCAAGCCUGAUCCAGCAAUGCCGCGUGAGUGAAGAAGGCCUUCGGGUUGUAAAGCUCUUUUGUCAGGGAAGAAACGGGAGUGGCUAAUAUCCAUUCCUAAUGACGGUACCUGAAGAAUAAGCACCGGCUAACUACGUGCCAGCAGCCGCGGUAAUACGUAGGGUGCAAGCGUUAAUCGGAAUUACUGGGCGUAAAGCGUGCGCAGGCGGUUUUGUAAGUCUGACGUGAAWUCCCCGGGCUCAACCUGGGAAUUGCGUUGGAGACUGCAAGGCUAGAAUCUGGCAGAGGGGGGUAGAAUUCCACGUGUAGCAGUGAAAUGCGUAGAGAUGUGGAGGAACACCGAUGGCGAAGGCAGCCCCCUGGGUCAAGAUUGACGCUCAUGCACGAAAGCGUGGGGAGCAAACAGGAUUAGAUACCCUGGUAGUCCACGCCCUAAACGAUGUCUACUAGUUGUCGGGUUUUAAUUAACUUGGUAACGCAGCUAACGCGUGAAGUAGACCGCCUGGGGAGUACGGUCGCAAGAUUAAAACUCAAAGGAAUUGACGGGGACCCGCACAAGCGGUGGAUGAUGUGGAUUAAU
rnacentral:rRNA from 1 species